CCCGGUCCAAGCCACACAGGAAGCCCACACUGGCUUCUGAGCAGGAGUGUAACAAAAGCCAGAUGACACUGGAAAGACACGUUGGCUGCGUGGUGACCACAGAGGACAGGCUGGAGAAGGACCCGAGACGUGCAGAUGGGAGUUGUGGCAGUAGUGGCCAUCUUGAGGGACAGACACCGGGAGAAAACGAGUGAUGCGUGCAAGGAGGGGCAUCGCUGAGCCCACACAAGACUCAAGAUGGAUGAGACAGAGGCGGCCUCAGGUGCCUGCAGGUGGAGAGAGAAGCACUGGGAAGCCUGAAGGAGCAUGAGAAAGACUGUUGCUGUAAGACACGGCGCUAUCUAUGGCCUGAAUAUUUGUUAUCUGUUGAAAUCCUAACCCCGAAGGCGAGGACACAGAUGCCAUCUUGAACCAGGAAGUGGCCACACCAGACACGGAAUCUGCCAGCACCUGGUUCCUG
rnacentral:lncRNA from 1 species